UACGAAGGGGGCUAGCGUUGCUCGGAAUUACUGGGCGUAAAGGGCGCGUAGGCGGUCUUAUAAGUCUCGUGUGAAAUCCCUCGGCUUAACUGAGGAACUGCACGGGAUACUGCAAGACUUGAGAUCGGGAGAGGGAAGCGGAAUUCCGGGUGUAGCGGUGAAAUGCGUAGAUAUCCGGAGGAACACCGGUGGCGAAGGCGGCUUCCUGGACCGAAACUGACGCUGAGGCGCGAAAGCUAGGGGAGCAAACGGG
rnacentral:rRNA from 1 species